rnacentral:rRNA from 1 species
GACGUAGGGCGCAAGCGUUGUCCGGAUUUAUUGGGCGUAAAGAGCUCGUAGGCGGCUUGUCGCGUCGACUGUGAAAACCCGUGGCUCAACUGCGGGACUGCAGUCGAUACGGGCAGGCUAGAGUUCGGUAGGGGAGACUGGAAUUCCUGGUGUAGCGGUGAAAUGCGCAGAUAUCAGGAGGAACACCGGUGGCGAAGGCGGGUCUCUGGGCCACUACUGACGCUGAGAAGCGAAAGCAUGGGGAGCGAACAGG